CCUACGGGUGGCAGCAGUGAGGAAUAUUGGUCAAUGGCCGGAAGGCUGAACCAGCCACGCCGCGUGAAGGUCAGUGCCCUAUGGGCUUUAAACUUCUUUUGUCCGGGAGCAAUAAUAGUCACGUGUGGCCAGACGAGAGUACCGUACGAAUAAGCAUCGGCUGACUCCGGGCCAGCAGCCGCGGUAAUACGGGGGAUGCAAGCGUUAUCCGGAUUUAUUGGGUUGAAAGGGUGCGUAGGCUGUGAGGUAAGUCAGCGGUGAAAUGCCGCCGCUCAACGGGGUGAAGUGCCAUUGAUACUGCCUAGCUGGAAUGCGGAUGACGUGGGAGGAAUGUGUGGUGUAGCGGUGAAAUGCAUAGAUAUUA
rnacentral:rRNA from 1 species